ensembl:ncRNA T21D9.3 ncRNA
AAAGUCGUUGGUGUAUGUGAGUCGGUCUUUCUGUGCAAAAUGUGAGCUUCUUCAGCUUCUUCAUAUCCUUCAGAAUACUUGCUUCUUUUGAAGAGGCCAAAACCGGCGGCAGUGUCAGCGGCGACGAAAAA